rnacentral:rRNA from 1 species
UACGUAGGGUGCGAGCGUUAAUCGGAUUUACUGGGCGUAAAGCGUGCGCAGGCGGCCCGUUAAGACAGGUGUGAAAUCCCUGGGCUCAACCUAGGAAUUGCGCUUGUGACUGGCGGGCUCGAGUACGGUAGAGGGGGGUGGAAUUCCUGGUGUAGCAGUGAAAUGCGUAGAUAUCGGGAGGAACACCGGUGGCGAAGGCGGCCUUCUGGCCUCUACCUGACGCUCAUGCACGAAAGCGUGGGGAGCAAACAGG